rnacentral:rRNA from 1 species
CCUACGGGAGGCAGCAGUGAGGAAUAUUGGUCAAUGGGCGCGAGCCUGAACCAGUCCAGUCGCGUGAGGGAAGACGGUCCUAUGGAUUGUAAACCUCUUUUGUCGGGGAGCAAAAGACGCCACGCGUGGCCUUCCGAGAGUACCCGGAGAAAAAGCCUCGGCUAACUCCGUGCCAGCCGCCGCGGUAAUACGGAGGAUACGAGCGUUAUCCGGAUUUAUUGGGGUUAAAGGGUGCGCAGGCGGAAGAUCAAGUCAGCGGUAAAAUUGAGAGGCUCAACCUCUUCGAGCCGUUGAAACUGGUUUUCUUGAGUGAGCGAGAAGUAUGCGGAAUGCGUGGUGUAGCGGUGAAAUGCAUAGAUAUCACGCAGAACUCCGAUUGCGAAGGCAGCAUACCGGCGCUCAACUGACGCUCAUGCACGAAAGUGUGGGUAUCGAACAGGAUUAGAUACCCGAGUAGUC